AAGAUUUUAGGUUAAACUCAAACCCUUAGCCUUCAAAGCUAAAAUUAGAAAAAAUAUUCUAAAUCUUA
rnacentral:tRNA from 1 species